UCGAUAAGCCAUUGGAGGGCAAGUCUGGUGCCAGCAGCCGCGGUAAUUCCAGCUCCAAUAGCGUAUAUUAACGUUGUUGCAGUUAAAAAGCUCGUAGUUGAAGUGAGGGAGUGUGUGUUGUGAUCGAAUCGAUCGAGAGCAGUACAACCUCCCCCUUCCAAUGGGUGUAUUGGGGUAUUCAUUUACUUCAUUACUCCUUUGGUCGUUUACUGUGAGAAAAUUAGAGUGUUCAAAGCGGGCGUUUGUUUGAAUAGAUUAGCAUGGAAUAAUGAUUGAAGGCUUUCGUGUUCGAUUUGAUUGGUUUGUUCAUGGAAGCAAGGUUAAAAGGAACAGUUGGGGGUAUUCAUAUUCACUAGUUAGAGGUGAAAUUCUCGGAUUUAUGGAAGAUGAACAAGGCGAAAGCAA
rnacentral:rRNA from 1 species